UACGUAGGGGGCAAGCGUUAUCCGGAUUUACUGGGUGUAAAGGGAGCGUAGACGGCCUGGCAAGUCUGAUGUGAAAACCCGGGGCUCAACCGCGGGAUUGCAUUGGAAACUGCUGGGCUUGAGUGCUGGAGGGGCAGGCGGAAUUCCUGGUGUAGCGGUGAAAUGUGUAGAUAUCAGGAAGAGCACCGGUGGCGAAGGCGGCCUGCUGGACGGUAACUGACGUUGAGGCUCGAAAGCGCGGGGAGCAAAC
rnacentral:rRNA from 1 species